GGAGGGCGGUAUUUAUUAGAUAACAAGCCAAUAUUCCUCUGGUCUAUUGUGGUGACUCAUAGUAACUGAUCGAAUCGCAAGGCCUAUGGCCGCGAUAAGUCAUUCAAGUUUCUGCCCCAUCAGCUUUCGAUGGUAGUGUAUUGGACUACCAUGGCGUUUACGGGUAACGGAGGAUUAGGGUUCGAUUCCGGAGAGGGAGCCUGAGAAACGGCUACCACAUCUAAGGAUGGCAGCAGGCGCGUAAAUUACCCAAUCCUGACUCAGGGAGGUAGUG
rnacentral:rRNA from 1 species